UUUAGUAUUAUUCAGCUUAAAGAAAUGGUAUCGUGGAGAACAGAGUUCGGGUUUCAAGUACCUAGAUUUGGGGUCGCCACAGCUAAGACAGAACGUCCCGAAGGAUCGAAUAAGGAUAAAGGAAAAGCUAAGGCAGAUCAUUAAGCUGUCUAUGUAAUAGUAUAGGUUAUUGUUGUAAUGUUAUUGAUAUUAUGACAAUGAACCUUUGAAAUGGGUUUAGAACUUGGGACAAUGUAAAUAUUAU
rnacentral:lncRNA from 1 species